CAUUAUUUAUAUUAUUACAAUAAUUAAUAUUUUUUAUAUUCUUUGGUUUAUCAGAAGGAGUAGUGGAUACGGUUUAGGAUCAUUGUUAUAAUAGGCAAAAUUGAUGGUGAUCGUACAUAGUGGCUAGGAAGGGAUAUAAUGGCUACUGUUGCAGUUAUUGGACUCAGUGGAGGAAAGAGACUCUUGAGUUCAUCAUACCAUUACUUUGAUAUUAUAGAAAAGCUUUCUUAUGGCAGUGAUUUUGGAUCCACACACACUACCAAUUUGGAUUUAAGUAUUAUGACUUUUUCAUCGUAACCAUGAACAUAUUUCAUUUUAUGUUGAGUAUUGGCAAUUGUUCCUUAUGUUAUCCUGUGCUUGGCAAGAUAUCAGAAGAGAGCUUGGAAUGGAUAUAAUUGAGGAACAUACGGUGAUGGAAUAUUCUCAGGUGAUGCAUCCUGCAAUACUUAGUAGUUUUUUUAGCAGAUUUUUGUAUGUUUAAAUGUUAUUGUUUUUUGACAGGUCAGCAAGAAAUGUGAAAAAUGAGACCAUGGAGAAGCUACCUAUUACACUAGACAGAUGAGAUCAACAAACAAGGGGCAAACUACUUUCUACACAUGUACCGACUGUGGUCAUCAGUCUUAGGAGAAUUAGUGGUUUACUUUAAGGUUAUGCUUAGUUUGGGAGAGAAAAGUGGAAGGAAAAAGAAAGAUAAAGAGUGAAAACUGAGAUGAUUUUUUGGUAGGAGAGAAAAUGAAAAGAAAGUUAAUUUUUUUUCUUCUUAUUUGAUUGUGUAUAAAGGAAAAAAAAAGCAUGUACGUGAAAUGUAAUAAAUACUUAAAACUUGGAAUCAAAUGUAGCAAUUAAUCUUUUUAUAAAAAAAAUAUAUUUAGAAGA